rnacentral:lncRNA from 1 species
AGACUCUGACAUCCAGCCAUCUCAAUAUUCCAGAGAAGAGGAUGAGUGUGAAGGGUGGUGGCGAUUUUAAACAAGGUGAUCAGGAAGACCUUGUGGAUAACUUCGGGUCUGAGCACACUCCAUCAGGCUGCCGGAUAGUCUCACCAUUACUCCCGUUAUUUGGAACCUCUUCACUGCAACGUGACCUUGUUUAUGUGAGUUUAGCUCUCUGAGACUCAGUUUCCUCAAAUGCAAUAUGAUAAGUAGACAGUGGAAUUUUCCAGAUGCUACACAAUAUGUGACGUUGCAACAGAUUGAAGAAGCAAAUAUGAGAAUCAUAUCUUCUAUGGAAUCAGAAACUCAAUUUGCAAAAAUGAAAAACAAUGUGACUCUUCUCACUAUUCUUUUCGGAUAUACAAUUAUGUUCAAUUAAAAUGUUAUUUAUGUCAUAU